rnacentral:rRNA from 1 species
UACGUAGGGUGCGAGCGUUACUCGGAAUUACUGGGCGUAAAGCGUGCGCAGGCGGUUUGGUAAGUCCGAUGUGAAAUCCCCGGGCUCAACCUGGGAACUGCAUUGGUGACUGGCAGGCUAGAGUAUGGCAGAGGGGGGUAGAAUUCCACGUGUAGCAGUGAAAUGCGUAGAGAUGUGGAGGAAUACCGAUGGCGAAGGCAGCCCCCUGGGCCAAUACUGACGCUCAUGCACGAAAGCGUGGGGAGCAAACAGG